rnacentral:misc_RNA from 1 species
UGCGUGCAUGUGUGUUUUCGGUGCUGUGUUGUCUUCUCUCCCUCCGGUGCACCAUCCUGCCUCCCAUUUCAGUGUGUGACCUGCUCUCAGCGAUCACAGUGCUGGAAGGAUGCACUGUGGCCCGCGUGGAAUCUUGCAAGGUAGCGCAGGGGCCUUGACACCCACGGUGUACGCUGCGCUCACCUCGAAGCGGUGUGUCUCGAUUGGUGGGCGCGCCAGUCCUCUCGGCUUCUCCACGCCGCCGGACAGGCAUCCCCGCAUCAAGCAGGUAGGGACCGGCGUCAUUGCACAGCACGUCCCUGGCACCACGAAGCUCCGCUACACGAAUCGAAAAGGGCGCACUUUCACCUUUUCGAUACCGGUAGCGCAGCUCACCCAUCCUCCUGUGGUGCGGCGGGGUGCAGCGAGGGAUGGGUGGCAUGAAAUCGACACGAGCUUCAGUGAUGUUGGCGAUCUCGAAGAUGAUAUGCCAAGCGAAGUAGACGAAUGCCUUGCGGCCGCCUCUGUUGCCGGCGAUGAGGGCCUUGUGGAGCUGAACCAAGAGCAGCUGCGGGCAUUGCAACAGGCGUUUGUGCGACUGUGCAAAGACUAUGUGCUCAUGGACACCAGCGGCAUGAAGACGUCGAUGAUGUACAGCGAGCUGAACAACGGUCCUGACUACGAGCUCUUCGAUCGAAAGACGCGCCGUCGCCGACACUGGCUCGCUAUACGGCAUCGCUACGAGGACGUCAAGGAACUGCUGUGGCCCUCAGACGCUGCAGCCAAUGAUGGCGACGCGCGAGCUGCAUCCGUCGAGGACACCGAGCGUGAACAGCAAUGUUCGCUGGCAGACGAGUCGCUGCCGGUGUUACCGAUCGCGGACAUGAUGGAGGCGCUCACAUGGUUGGAGGCGGCUUCGACGUUUGCGGUUCGGAAGCACCGGCCCUUCGACACCUCUAACGCUUCUGACUUUGCGCCCUUGGACCUGUCGAGGGAGGUGCGCAUCGUCGCCUCGUGUGUCCGCGCUGCAGGGUUGUCCAACCUCCUCCAGAGCGUUGGACAGGGGGCGGCAGGUGAGCCACGCGGAGACGCGGCGGACACCGUGGCUGAUCGCUUCAUAUCUCUCGGUGCGUUGUGCGCGAACCACGGCGUGCCCUUGUCGGCCGCCUUCGCUCCGUCGGUGUCUACCUCCUGCGAUGCGGCGGCCUCGCCCACCACCGCUGCCGUCGCCUCCGUGCAGGCGUGGCUCUCCUCGAUUCCUGUGCUGUCUCGCGUGAAAGACGCGGUUCGGGUGAUCGGAGUCAUGCAGAUCUGCGGGCAAGGGAAAGGUGAUGGCGCAGCUGCUGAGCUCUUGCGCUUCAGUGACGCCGAUGGCGCCGUCGUGCGGGAAGCGCUGCUCGACGCGUUGUGCCGGGUCGUGCCUGCCUCUCUCUUCUCCGACGCUGCGGCCCUCGAGAACGUCGAUGAAGCAGAACUGUGCGUCUUGCUGCGGUACGUGACUGAGAUACAGGAGCAGAAUGCCGCUUUCUUUCAAGCGAUGGGCGGCAGCGAAGCGACGUCCAGGCCGGAGCGCGCGGCGACGACUGAGGGUCGACGCGUGUUGCGGCACUUCACGCGACUGGUGCUUGCACGAUGCCGCCGCCUUUUGUACGAUCACGAUGGCCCUCCGGCCACCCUCUUAAGCGGCGACGCGGAGAACAUUCCUUUCGUGGACUUGCAGUCGUAUGCCGAUCACAACCACCCGGAGGUGCGCGUGCAUCAAAAGAUCGGCCGCGCGAACGCGCAGGGGCUUCGGUACGCGCGCCUGCAGUCCAGGGCAUCCACGACGAUGGCAGAGCUCCUUGGUCGGCUGGAAAGCGCCAACCAGCGAAUGGUAGCCGGCGCGCAGGGUCUGCGGUGCGACCUCCUCCGGCACGUCGCCCAGAAGGCAGCCCUCGGCAAAAGCAAGUUAACGCUCGAGGAUGUGACACGCGCGUUGCCGCUGCUGGCAGCGCUAAUGGGCAAGACAUCGGAGCAGCAGGUUAAGUCCACCUACGAGCGCCUGCUGACGGCGAUGUCGACCACGAUAGGUGUCGCGCUGCAGCAGCCGCAGAAGCCCGCGUGCAUUCUCGCCCUCCUCGAGGGCCUCGCCGGCUGUCACUACACGCCGAGCUCCUACAAGCUGCUGGAAAUGGUAAUGCUCCGGAUGAUGAUGCGCGGCGCCUUUACGCUUAGCGACGCCGGUCGCUGCCUCACCGCCAUGCUGCAAGUGGUUGGCCCACAGAACGUUUCCCAGUCGGUGAAGCAAGCCAUCGCCAUGCGCGUGGUGGCUGCGGUGGAUGCGAGGUCAGACAGCACUGCGGCGGAUGUGCUGGCGGUACUCCGGGCGCUGCGCUACAGCUAUUAUUCGUCGUUUGCUUCUCUCGUGUGUCUCGUGUCGAAGUCGCCGCUCAUGGGAAACACAGCGAACUGGCAGCCGUUGGAGCACGUGCGUUAUGCUGUGCUGCUGGCUGCUGCCGCCGCGGCGAUCGAGACGGAGGCGAACUCUGAACUUGGUAAUGCUGUGUCCACCACCGCGCGGGAGCUGCUUCUGCUUGGACUCUCUCCGACGCACCCGCCUUCUGCAGUGCCGCCACGGUCGCCAGCGUGUGUAGGGGAGGACGCAUAUCAGGAGUGUGUGACUGCGUGCGCUGCGCUAGAUGUAAGCCCUGCACCCCCGACUCUGACGGCGUGGGCCCACGCAGACAUUGACGCGCGCCCCGUGCAUUCCUUGUGCACUCCUGCGUUGGCAGUGAGCACGAUGGAGGCUCUCGAGGCCAUGAACCUCGCCCCAUCCCGGUGGUACAGCGCAUACGGCAACUACUUGACUGACGCCUUGGAGCAUAUGCAGCGACGGCCACUGCUUGAGGACGACGCGGAGACGGCGGUCAGGUGCUUGUACCUCCAACAGGCGCCCGGGGCCGUGACCAGGCUAGCGUCAGUGCUGCUGGCGCACGAAGUGGAUCGUCUUGACCAAACGCUCACCCGCGGCGCCGUAGUCCACGACGGCACUCGUGCGCCGCCGGUGUGCACCUUUCAGCAGAGGUCACUCGAGCGGCAAACAUCAGAAGGUGAGACGGAGGCCCGUCUUCUACGAUACUGCGCAGCGCUGCAGCACGCAUCCAGGGAAGCGCUGAGCACCGGGUCCGCAGAGGUAUAGCACAUCCCGUCCGUAGCAUUUGCGAUCUCUGCUGUGCCCGGUCCACGCCCUUGCCGUUGCACUCUGCAUGCCACCGAUCACUCCUCCUCUCUCCGCAGCGCUGGGUUGUUGACCCGAGCUGCACCCCCUCCCUCAUCUACAUCAUCACAGCUUGUGUCUCCUAAGGCAAGUGCAAAAGU